rnacentral:rRNA from 1 species
CCUACGGGGGGCUGCAGUCGAGAAUCUUCGGCAAUGGGGGCAACCCUGACCGAGCGACGCCGCGUGCGAGAUGAAGGCCUUCGGGUUGUAAAUCGCUGUCAGUGGGGAGGAAAUGCUGGUGGGUUCUCCCAUCAGUUUGACCUAUCCGCAGAGGAAGGACGGGCUAAGUUCGUGCCAGCAGCCGCGGUAAGACGAACCGUCGAAACGUUAUUCGGAAUCACUGGCGUUGACGGGUGCGUAGGUGGCCCGUGAAAUCCCUCGGCUCAACCGAGGAAUUGCGCCCAAAACUGCCGGGCUUGAGGGAGACAGAGGUGAGCGGAACUUAGGGUGGAGCGGUGAAAUGCGUUGAUAUCCUAGGGAACACCAGUAGCGAAAGCGGCUCACUGGGUCUCUUCUGACGCUGAUGCACGAAAGCUAGGGGAGCGAAGAGGAUUAGAUACCCCGGUAGUC